rnacentral:rRNA from 1 species
UGGGUUUGACAUAUACGUGGUACCAAAUCGAAAGAGGAGGGAGCCUUAGGGGAGCGAAUAC